UAAAACGCUGAGUUUCUCAUCUUCACGCAGAGCAGCAGGUUACAGAGAUGACUAAUGAAUCCUCCUGAUCCUGAUAUUUUUUUUCCUUCUGGAAUAUAAAAGCUGCUUAAUGCUUCAUCAGAUCUGCACAGAUGGAUCACAGGUCUCAGUCUCCCUUGUGUGAGAAUAAAGACAAACCUCCAUCUGUUACCCACAAUCCAUCUGACCAAGUGUCCAGCCAAUCAGAUCACAUGGAAACUCCAUCCACUUCCUGUGAGUCGUUCAGGCCCAGAUUCAGGCCUGUUGAAGAAGCUCGGGAGAAGCUGAAGUUCAUUCUGGGUGCAUCAGAAGACAACUCGUCCGACGAUGAAGCUUCAGCUUCAGCUUCCAAAUCCCAAAUCAGAAAAGAGAUUGACGCACGUCAGACCGCCGUACAGAAGACACACCCUCGCACGGGCAUGACCCAAUCCACAAGCAUGAGGCCGAGCAUGUCUGGUCUUAACCUGAUGAAGAAAGGUCGAGAGCAGAGAAGGAUGGACGUACCUCGAGAUUUCACUGUGGCCUCUCCGGCCGAGUUCGUCAAGCGAUUCGGAGGAACCCGUAUAAUAGAAAAGGUUCUGAUCGCCAAUAACGGCAUUGCAGCAGUAAAGUGCAUGCGCUCGAUCCGCCGCUGGUCCUACGAAAUGUUCCGCAAUGAAAGAACCAUCCGCUUCGUAGUGAUGGUCACACCUGAGGAUCUAAAAGCUAACGCAGAGUACAUUAAAAUGGCAGAUCAUUACGUGCCUGUUCCUGGUGGGACGAACAACAACAACUACGCUAAUGUGGAGAUGAUCGUGGACAUCGCAAAGAGAAUUCCAGUGCAGGCGGUGUGGGCCGGUUGGGGUCACGCAUCAGAAAACCCCAAGCUGCCGGAGCUGCUUCAUAAAGCAGGGAUUUCAUUUUUAGGGCCGUCCAGUAAAGCCAUGUGGGCUCUGGGAGAUAAAGUGGCUUCUUCUAUUGUAGCUCAGACUGCAGGAAUCCCCACUUUACCCUGGUCUGGGUCUGGUCUGAAGGUAUUGUGGGGAGAUGAAGAACAGAGACUGGGUCAUGUGAUCAGUGUCCCACCUGAGCUCUAUGCCAAAGGCUGUGUUAGAGAUGUGGAUGAAGGUCUUGCUGGUGCAGAGGAGAUCGGCUAUCCUGUAGUGAUCAAGGCAUCAGAAGGCGGAGGAGGGAAAGGAAUCAGGAAAGUGGACAACACUGAAGAUUUCCCCAGCUUUUUCAGACAGGUCCAGGUGGAGGUGCCCGGCUCACCCAUCUUCAUCAUGCAGCUGGCUCAGCAUGCACGUCACCAGGAGGUGCAGAUCCUGGCAGACGAGUACGGAAACGCCAUCUCUCUGUUCGGUAGGGACUGCUCCAUCCAGCGGCGCCACCAGAAGAUCAUCGAGGAGGCUCCAGCCACCAUCGCCUCACCCGCCACCUUCCAGCAGAUGGAGAGGUAUGCAGUGCGUAUGGCUAAGAUGGUGGGCUAUGUGAGUGCGGGGACUGUAGAGUACCUGCUUUCAGAGGACGGCAGUUUCCACUUCCUGGAGUUGAACCCCAGACUGCAGGUGGAGCAUCCAUGCACAGAAAUGAUAGCAGAUGUUAAUCUUCCAGCUGCACAGCUACAGAUAGCGAUGGGAAUCCCUCUGCACAGGAUUAAGGAUAUCCGUGUGCUGUAUGGUGAAACUCCGUGGGAUGACACCACCAUUAAUUUUGAGGAUCUGGAGUCUGUCCCCUGUCCUCGAGGCCACGUCAUCGCCGCUCGCAUCACCAGUGAGAACCCGGACGAGGGCUUUAAGCCGAGCUCGGGCACGGUGCAGGAGCUGAAUUUCCGCAGCAGUAAGAACGUGUGGGGUUACUUCAGCGUGGGGGCCACAGGGGGGCUGCACGAGUUUGCUGACUCGCAGUUCGGACACUGUUUCUCCUGGGGAGAAAACCGAGAGGAAGCCAUCUCUAACAUGGUGGUGGCCAUGAAGGAGUUGUCUAUCCGAGGAGAUUUCAGGACCACAGUGGAGUAUCUGAUAAAGCUGCUGGAGACCGAGUGCUUCAGGAACAAUGACAUCGACACAGGAUGGCUGGACCACUUGAUCGCUGAGAAAGUGCAGGCGGAGAGGCCAGACACCAUGCUGGGGGUGGUGUGUGGAGCUCUACAUGUAGCUGAUGCCAGUUUCAGGAAAAGCAUGUCUGACUUUCUACACUCUCUCGAGAGAGGUCAGGUGUUACCUGCUGCUAGUCUGGUGAACACUGUGGAGGUGGAUCUGAUCUAUGAGGGAAUCAAAUACUGCUUGAAGGUGGCCCGUCAGUCUCCCACCACCUACGUGAUUAUAAUGAACGACUCGGACAUAGAGAUUGAUGUCCACAGGCUGAGUGAUGGUGGCCUGCUCCUGUCCUACAGUGGCAGCAGCUACACCACCUACAUGAAGGAGGAAGUUGACAGAUACCGGAUCACGGUGGGCAAUAAGACGUGUGUGUUUGAGAAGAAGCGAGACCCCACGGUGCUGCGUUCCCCCUCCGCUGGUAAACUGCUGCAGUAUGUUGUGGAGGAUGGAGGACACGUCACUGCAGGAUAUCCGUACGCUGAAAUCGAGGUGAUGAAGAUGGUGAUGACACUGACGGUGCAGGAAUCAGGCUGUGUUCACUUUGUAAAGCGACCCGGAGCCGUGUUAGAGCCCGGCUGUGUAGUGGCUCAUAUCGACCUGGACGACCCGAGCAUUAUUCAGCCUGUGCAGCUGAACACUCAGCCGUUACCUGCACAGGAGCCGCUGCCCACAGUGGGGGAGAAACUGCACCAGGUCUUCCAUAGCGUGCUGGAGAACCUGAUGAAGGUCAUGGAUGGAUACUGUCUCUCUGAGCCCUAUUUCAGUAACAGGCUGAAUAAGUGGGUGGACUCUCUGAUGCGGACUCUACGUGACCCUUCACUCCCACUGCUGGAGCUGCAGGACAUCAUGACCAGCGUCUCGGGUCGUAUCCCUGUCACGGUGGAGAAAGUCAUCCGCAAGAUUAUGGCCCAGUACGCCAGCAACAUCACCUCUGUUCUCUGUCAGUUCCCCAGCCAGAGGAUUGCGAAUAUCCUGGACAGUCACGCAGCCAUGCUACAGAAGAAAGCAGACCGUGAGGUUUUCUUCAUGAACACUCAGAGCAUGGUGCAGCUCGUGCAGAGGUAUCGCAGUGGUAUUCGAGGCUAUAUGAAGGCUGUAGUUUUAGACCUGCUGCGCCGUUACCUGCAGGUGGAGAUGCAGUUCCAACAGGGCACGUAUGAUAAGUGUGUGAUAAACCUGCGAGAGCAGUACAAGCCUGAUAUGACUCCUGUGCUCGAACACAUCUUCUCCCAUGCUCAGGUCUUCAAGAAGAACAUCCUGGUCUCCAUGCUCAUAGAUCAGCUUUGUAGCCGGGACCCGGCGCUGACAGAUGACGUGGUGGUGAUCCUGAUUGAGUUCACACAGCUCAGUAAGAUGGAGAACUCAAAGGUUUCCCUGUGUUCCAGACAGAAACUCAUCCUGUCUGAGACGUCAAUCUUUGAUGUUUUGCCCAGUUUCUUCUACCACGUUGACCGUGUGGUGUGUAUGGCUGCUUUAGAGGAAUGAGCUCUUUUAGAUGUGUACCUUGGAGUGGAAUUUGGGUGCAAUUUCUGUCAUUUCUUACACCUAUGAGCUGAACAGUCUGCAGCAUCACCAGUUGAAUGAUGGCACGUGUGCUGUGCACUUUCAGUUCAUGCUCCCUUCAUCUCACCCCAACAGUCACUGAUCCGAUCCCGCACUAGUCGACUGAGGGAUAGCUUCAAAAGUGAGUCCAAACCAGGGUGUAAAUCUGUCAGCUUUCCAGUCACAGACACACAAACUCACUGAGUGUAAUGCUGAAUGGCCGCUGCCCUGAUGGCCGUGCCCUGCGCUGACCACAAGAUGCACCUGUACCUGGGUCCUGCCCGUGUUGAGGAGGGCACUGAGGUCACUGACUACCACUUCUUUGUCAGAGCCAUCAUCCGCCACUCCGACCUCAUCACCAAGAAAGCCGGUCCAGGCUGACGCUAUCCUGCUGGGUCUUGGAUCUUUCUGUCAGCAAUGCAGGGAUAAAACAGUCCAAAAUGCAGGAUAGUAGAAAAAUAAACAGGUUUAAUAACUAAAAACAUAAAACAGGGACACGGACUAGGACACACAACGACAUACCACAACAUCAGACUACGUAAGACGAGGAUUCAGCGCUGCAAUAGGACGAGAGAAGGGCGGGGCAGACACGUGACACAGAACAUAAACAAAAGCAUGUGGCCAAAGUCCGGGCUGGAUCCUGACAGUGGUAAUCAGGAUCAUCAGCAGUCACCUUCUGUAUCCACUCCGUCUUUGGGAUCAUUUUCAUGAUGUUAUUGUCAUAGUAGUCGAUCUGUCCUCCAUCCACCUGACCAACAGUGCUGAAUUCUGGGAUAUUUAUUCCAGGUGUAACUGCAGUGUAGAAAUACUGCAUAACUGUCGACAUAAUAAUAAUAAUAAUAAUAAUAAUAAUAAAGUGUGUAUUUCUGUA